rnacentral:rRNA from 1 species
AACGAACGCUGGCGGCAUGCCUAACACAUGCAAGUCGAACGAGACCUUCGGGUCUAGUGGCGCACGGGUGCGUAACGCGUGGGAAUCUGCCCUUAGGUUCGGAAUAACUCAGGGAAACUUGAGCUAAUACCGGAUGAUGUCUUCGGACCAAAGAUUUAUCGCCUAGGGAUGAGCCCGCGUAGGAUUAGCUAGUUGGUGAGGUAAAGGCUCACCAAGGCGACGAUCCUUAGCUGGUCUGAGAGGAUGAUCAGCCACACUGGGACUGAGACACGGCUCAGACUCCUACGGGAGGCAGCAGUGGGGAAUAUUGGACAAUGGGCGAAAGCCUGAUCCAGCAAUGCCGCGUGAGUGAUGAAGGCCUUAGGGUUGUAAAGCUCUUUUGCCCGGGAUGAUAAUGACAGUACCGGGAGAAUAAGCCCCGGCUAACUCCGUGCCAGCAGCCGCGGUAACAC